rnacentral:pre_miRNA from 1 species
AAACUUAUCAUUUGGGAGUCUAAUUAAAAAGCAGAUUCUGAUUCAGUAGUCAGGGGAAGGGACUGAGAGUCUGCAAUUCUAAGGAGCUCCCAGGUGAUGCUACU